AGGGUUCGAUUCUGGCUCAGGAUGAACGCUAGCUACAGGCUUAACACAUGCAAGUCGAGGGGCAGCAUGAAGUUUGCUUGCAAACUUGAUGGCGACCGGCGCACGGGUGAGUAACGCGUAUCCAACUUCCCUAUAGUAGAGAAUAGCCCGGCGAAAGUCGGAUUAAUGCUCUAUGUUCUUCUUUGAUGGCAUCUGACGAGAAGCAAAAGGUUCACCGCUAUAGGAUGGGGAUGCGUCUGAUUAGGUUGUUGGCGGGGUAACGGCCCACCAAGCCCACGAUCAGUAGGGGUUCUGAGAGGAAGGUCCCCCACAUUGGUACUGAGACACGGACCAAACUCCUACGGGAGGCAGCAGUGAGGAAUAUUGGUCAGUGGACGGAAGUCUGAACCAGCCAAGUAAGCGUGCAGGACGACUGCCCUAUGGGUUGUAAACUGCUUUUAUAGGGGAAUAAAGUGAGGUACGCGUACCUUUUUGUAUGUACCCUAUGAAUAAGGACCGGCUAAUUCCGUGCCAGCAGCGGC
rnacentral:rRNA from 1 species